AAUAGAUACCCUGGUAGUCCAUGCCGUAAACGAUGUCUACUAGCCGUUGGGGCCUUCGAGGCUUUAGUGGCGCAGCUAACGCGAUAAGUAGACCGCCUGGGGAGUACGGUCGCAAGACUAAAACUCAAAUGAAUUGACGGGGGCCCGCACAAGCGGUGGAGCAUGUGGUUUAAUUCGAUGCAACGCGAAGAACCUUACCUGGUCUCGACAUACAGAGAACUUUCCAGAGAUGGAUUGGUGCCUUCGGGAACUCUGAUACAGGUGCUGCAUGGCUGUCGUCAGCUCGUGUCGUGAGAUGUUGGGUUAAGUCCCGCAACGAGCGCAACCCUUUUCCUUACUUGCCAUCGGGUCAUGCCGGGAACUUUAAGGAUACUGCCAGUGACAAACUGGAGGAAGGCGGGGGCGACGUCAAGUCAUCAUGGCCCUUACGACCAGGGCUACACACGUGCUACAAUGGUCGGUACAAAGGGUUGCUACCUAGCGAUAGGAUGCUAAUCUCAAAAAGCCGAUCGUAGUCCGGA
rnacentral:rRNA from 1 species